rnacentral:lncRNA from 1 species
CGUGAAGGCAAAGAUCCAGGACAAGGAAGGCAUCCCCCCAGACCAGCAGCGUCUCAUCUUUGCCGGGAAGCAGCUUGAGGAUGGCCGCACCCUUGCCGACUACAACAUCCAGAAGGAGUCCACCCUUCACCUGGUGCUCCGCCUUCGUGGUGGUAUGCAGAUCUUCGUCAAGACCCUCACCGGCAAGACCAUCACCCUGGAGGUGGAGUCCUCUGACACCAUUGACAAUGUGAAGGCCAAGAUCCAGGACAAGGAGGGCAUCCCCCCGGACCAGCAGCGUCUCAUCUUCGCUGGCAAGCAGCUGGAGGAUGGCCGCACCCUUGCUGACUACAACAUCCAGAAGGAGUCCACCCUUCACCUGGUGCUCCGCCUGCGUGGUGGCAUGCAGAUCUUUGUCAAGACCCUCACCGGCAAGACCAUCACCCUGGAGGUUGAGUCCUCUGACACCAUUGACAACGUGAAGGCCAAGAUCCAGGACAAGGAGGGCAUCCCCCCGGAUCAGCAGCGUCUGAUCUUUGCUGGCAAGCAGCUGGAGGAUGGCCGCACCCUUGCUGACUACAACAUCCAGAAGGAGUCCACCCUUCACCUGGUGCUGCGUCUUCGUGGUGGUAUGCAGAUCUUCGUCAAGACCCUCACCGGCAAGACCAUCACCCUGGAGGUGGAGUCCUCUGACACCAUUGACAAUGUGAAGGCAAAGAUCCAGGACAAGGAGGGCAUUCCCCCGGACCAGCAGCGUCUCAUCUUUGCUGGUAAGCAGCUGGAGGAUGGCCGCACCCUUGCAGACUACAACAUCCAGAAGGAAUCCACUCUCCACCUGGUGCUCCGUCUCCGUGGUGGCCAGUAAGUCCUGGGCCAUGAGCAGCCGUCCUUCCAGGGUUCACAUGUCUGGUGCCUUCCUCUGUCCCUCUGAUGGAGAUUAU